AGUUUAGGUUAACAGGAGAGUUAUCAGAAUUACACAUGGACCCAGAAGAUAAAGGUAAAUCUAAGAAUUAAUAAAAGAAACUAAAGAAGCCUCUUGAGGAUAGCUCAGGUGGUAAGAGUAGGAUUGGAUGUAACAAUGUGGGUAGAGAUCUAGGGCUUAUACCCAUUUAGCGUGACCCAAAAAAACAUCUCAAGGUCACAAGUAACUAGCUUUCGGUACUAUGUUAGUAAAGCAAAUAAACAAUCAUCAAAGAAAAUUGAGUCUAUUCUUCCAUGAUUUUGCCAAAGUUGUUCAUGAAAUUGCAGAAAGAAUGUUUUAGCCUCAUUUCCUUGCUUUCUGCUGGUUGGAUGGAGUUUAUCAUAGUGCAUUUGGCUUAGAUCUUUGUUUCAAGGCUUCAAAAUAUUUAAAAGUUUUGGUUGAAUCAUUUAACAUUGUAAACCUUUUUCCACAGUUCCAAGUUGAUGUUUCGUGUUAGGCAAAAGCUAUUGUUUAAAUAAAUGAAGUACUAGUUCUCCUGAAGUAAUAGUAGCAUCUUAUUCUUAUUGAUGAUCUGGAACAUAAAUCGCAGUUCUGGAAUGGAAUUUUUAACGCUCCUCUCUGGCCGGCGCUUCUUUCUGCCUUACCCUUCUUUUUCUUUCUUCCUCUUCCUGAGCUAAGCUCCAUCCAAUCAGGCAUGAAAGAAAGCACGAAUUGAAAAAUUCAACCUCCCAAAGCUUUUACCCUUUCUUGAUUAGAACUAUUAAUAUCAAAGCCAUAAAAAUGGAGCAGUGUACUUAUUUCUAGAUAUACGUUCUUCCUUUUGUAAUGUUUUCGAUUGUCUUUUCAUCUCGUUUGUCAGUACAUGCUUUUACAUCUCUUCUUCACCUUGUUGGUAGAAGUGGCAAAUGCUUUCUCUGUUAUUUGAGGUUCAACUUUUAGUGAAAGCCUUAUUAUCUCUCAUUCUUGCUUCACAAGUUGAAACCUGUAGUUUUAAACUCUUCAUUUCUCAUCCCUUUUUUAAUCAUGCAGUGGAAGCACUAUUGUUGGCAUUGGUUCACCAGAUCCUCCACAAUUUGUUUAUGAUGAAGAUACAUACAAAGAUGUUUUCUUGUCAGAUGCAUAUUUCCUCACUAGAGAGGCUAACCAGUGGUACAGAGAACCUACCUCAAGCCCUACCCCUUCGUCCUAUUCUUCUCAGAUUGCUUAAUUAGUCUUCUUUCCAUUUCCAUAAGCCUCUACAUGGUUAUAUAUUAUCUCCAUAUUGUAAUCAUGAAAUGAUGUAGAACUUAGCUCUGCUGCAUUUUCUGCUUUAGUUGCUGCGACUUUCAUGAGCCAAAUUCAAGGAUCUGGGUUCUCUGCUGUACCUUUAUGCUGCUACAAUUAUAAAAUUUUAAUUUUUUAUGGCAAAAUUUUACAAAAUGGAAAUAAUUUUCUUGCUAUGGCUUUUUUUAAAAAAAUGAUUGAAUAUUACAAAUAAAAAAUAAAUAUAAAAUAUGAAGAAAUGGCAGCACCAUGGUGCUGCUGUUUCAGCAGCAGCAGCAGAUGAUCCAUGUCCUAAAUGCAAACAUUAGGAAAAGGGCAAAAAGGCUGGCAAUGUUUUGUAUCAAUACUAGUCCUGGGGAAGGAAGUGAAAAAUAAAUUCAAUAAAUAUGUCUAGGGUCCCUCAUGCUUGAGGAUCCUCUGAAUUUUUUGUGGAAUA